rnacentral:rRNA from 1 species
GAUUAGUUUGAUCCUGGCUCAGGAUGAACGCUAGCGGCAGGCCUAACACAUGCAGGCCGAGGGGUUUUGUAGCAAUGUAAGACGACCGGCGCACGGGUGCGUAACUCGUAUGCAAUCUACCUAUCACACGGGGACAGGUCCCGGAAACGGGAAUUAAUAACCGAUGGCACAUUGAUACCGCAUGGUAUUGGAAGCUAAAGAUUUAUCGGUGAUAGAUGAGCAUGCGUGACAUUAGCUAGUUGGUGAGGUAACGGCUCACCAAGGCAACGAUGUCUAGGGGUUCUGCAAGGAAGAUCCCCCACACUGGUACUGAGACACGGACCAGACUCCUACGGGAGGCAGCAGUGAGGAAUAUUGGUCAAUGGGCGCAAGCCUGAACCAGCCAUGCCGCGUGCAGGAAGACGGUCCUAUGGAUUGUAAACUGCUUUUAUACAGGAAGAAACCCUCCCACGUGUGGGAGCUUGACGGUACUGUAGGAAUAAGGAUCGGCUAACUCCGUGCCAGCAGCCGCGGUAAUACGGAGGAUCCAAGCGUUAUCCGGAAUCAUUGGGUUUAAAGGGUCCGUAGGCGGCCUUAUAAGUCAGUGGUGAAAUCUCCUAGCUCAACUAGGAAACUGCCAUUGAUACUGUAAGGCUUGAAUUUUUGUGAAGUAACUAGAAUAUGUAGUGUAGCGGUGAAAUGCUUAGAUAUUACAUGCAAUACCAAUUGCGAAGGCAGGUUACUAACAAACGAUUGACCCUUAUGGACGAAAGCCUUGGGAGCGAACAGGAUUAAAUACCCUGGUAGUCCAAUC